CCUACGGGGGGCAGCAGUGGGAAAUAUUGGACAAUGGGGGGAACCCUGAUCCAGCCAUGCCGCGUGUGUGAAGAAGGCCCUCGGGUUGUAAAGCACUUUCAGUGAGGAAGAACGCCUGGUGGUUAAUACCCAUCAGGAAAGACAUCACUCACAGAAGAAGCACCGGCUAACUCCGUGCCAGCAGCCGCGGUAAUACGGAGGGUGCGAGCGUUAAUCGGAAUUACUGGGCGUAAAGCGCGCGUAGGUGGCUUGAUAAGCCGGUUGUGAAAGCCCCGGGCUCAACCUGGGAACGGCAUCCGGAACUGUCAAGCUAGAGUGCAGGAGAGGAAGGUAGAAUUCCCGGUGUAGCGGUGAAAUGCGUAGAGAUCGGGAGGAAUACCAGUGGCGAAGGCGGCCUUCUGGACUGACACUGACACUGAGGUGCGAAAGCGUGGGUAGCAAACAGGAUUAGAUACCCUGGUAGUC
rnacentral:rRNA from 1 species